rnacentral:rRNA from 1 species
UACGGGGGGGGCUAGCGUUGUUCGGAAUUACUGGGCGUAAAGGGCGCGUAGGCGGUCCGCUAAGUUGGAUGUGAAAACUCUGGGCUUAACCCAGAGCCUGCAUUCAAUACUGACAGGCUAGAGUUCUGGAGGGGAUAGCGGAAUUCCUGGUGUAGCGGUGAAAUGCGUAGAUAUCUGGAGGAACACCGGUGGCGAAAGCGACUCACUGGACCGACACUGACGCUGAGGUGCGAAAGCUAGGGUAGCAAACGGG